rnacentral:rRNA from 1 species
GACGAACGCUGGCGGCGUGCUUAACACAUGCAAGUCGUACGGUAAGGCCCUUCUUUUGUUGGAUGCUUGAGUGGCGAACGGGUAAGUCACACGUGAGUAACCUGCCCUUUACUUUGGGAUCACUUCAGGUAACUGUGGCUAAUACCGUAUAGUCGCUCCUGCUGCAUGGUGUGGGUUGGAACGUUUCGGCGGUUGGGGAUGGACUCGCGGCUUAUCAGCUUGUUGGUGGGGUAGUGGCUUACCAAGGCUUUGACGGGUAGCCGGCCUGAGAGGGUGACCGGCCACAUUGGGACUGAGAUACGGCCCAGACUCCUACGGGAGGCAGCAGUGGGGAAUAUUGCACAAUGGGCGGAAGCCUGAUGCAGCAACGCCGCGUGCGGGAUGACGGCCUUCGGGUUGUAAACCGCUUUCGCCAGUGACGAAGCGUGAGGUAAGGGAAUGGGUAAAGAAGCAACGGCUAACUAAGUG